AUGUGGUGAUGAUGUCGGGGUUAAUUUCUGCCUCAUGGUAGCCAGUCAUGAAAGGAGGUUUGUGUCUGUACAAUUGUUUCUUUGGCCUGUGUUGAGCUGGAGGAGGGAACAGGACUUCACAGAGG